UACGAAGGGGGCAAGCGUUGUCCGGAUUUAUUGGGCGUAAAGAGCUCGUAGGUGGUUCGGUAAGUCGGAUGUGAAAUCUCCAGGCUCAACCUGGAGGGGUCAUUCGAUACUGCCGUGACUAGAGGUCGGUAGGGGAGUGUGGAAUUCCUGGUGGAGCGGUGAAAUGCGCAGAUAUCAGGAGGAACACCCGUGGCGAAGGCGGCUCUCUGGGACGGUACUGACGCUGAGACGCGAAAGCGUGGGGAGCGAACAGG
rnacentral:rRNA from 1 species